rnacentral:snoRNA from 4 species
AGGUCAUUUCAAAGAGGGCUUGUGGGACUAAAACCAAGAGCUCUUAACGCUGUGACCAAAUAUUGGAGUUCUCCAUAGGAUGUAAUAGUUACUCAAUAGUGCUAUGUUUUUUCCUGAGGAGAUACAGGA